GUCUACGGCCAUACCACUCUGAAUGGUGCCCAACCUCAUCUGAUCUCAGAAGCUAAGCAGGGUUGGGCCUGGUUAGUACUUGAAUGGGAGACCAGUGUAUCUCUGGAGAUCAUUAUAA
rfam:TPA: Bos taurus chromosome 14, whole genome shotgun sequence.